GAAGUCCAUCAAAGCCAACUAAAGUGUCAAUAAGGCAAGCCAGCCCCCACAGGCUGACUAGAAGUCGACUUGCUAUGCUAAUGGGAGAAGGUGGAGGUGAGCAGGCAACCAUGCAAAAUUCACCCCCCAAGAGAUCACCAGC